GGGGAUAUAGCUCAGAGGUAGAGUGCCUGCCUAGCACACAUGAGGCCCUGGGUUCAAUCCCUAGCAUAGCCA
rnacentral:tRNA from 1 species